rnacentral:rRNA from 1 species
UACGUGGGGAGCAAGCGUUGUUCGGAUUUACUGGGCGUAAAGGGCGCGUAGGCGGCCACCGCAAGUCGACUGUGAAAUCUCCGGGCUUAACCCGGAAAGGUCAGCCGAUACUGCGGGGCUAGAGUGCAGAAGGGGCAACUGGAAUUCUCGGUGUAGCGGUGAAAUGCGUAGAUAUCGAGAGGAACACCUGCGGCGAAGGCGGGUUGCUGGGCCUACACUGACGCUGAGGCGCGAAAGCUAGGGGAGCGAACGGG